ACACACGGCGUGCCGCAGGAUGCCCGCAGCUCCCGCAGCGAGGGGCUGAGGCGGGCGGGGGCCGAGAGGUCGCGAGGAGGAGGAAGGCGGGAGCGGCGCGCGGGCAGGGUCUCGUGCCCGCUCCGAGGCGCGGCUGAGGAUGGCGCCGGUGAGCGAGCAGUUGUCGCCGCAGGGCGCGGGGGACCCCACCGCCGCCCCCCUGCCCGACCCGCCGGCGGCGGCGGUGGAGACACGGCGGGAGAACGGCGGCGAGUGGUGUCCCGGGAGCGGCAGCCCGACCGCACAGAGCGGCGAGAACGGGGCCCAGCCUCAGGCGGCGACGGAGGCCCCCGGGAGCGCGAGCCGCCCCGGGAGCGAGGCGCCUGAGCCCCCCGAGGGCGGCUGGGGCUGGGUGGUGAUGCUGGCCGCCAUGUGGUGCAACGGCGCCGUCUUCGGCAUCCAGAACUCGUGCGGGGUCCUCUUCGUCUCCAUGCUCCAGGUCUUCGGCGGCAGCGAGGGCAAGCAGCUGGCGUUCAAAGCAGCAUGGGUGAACUCUCUUUCUAUGGGAAUGGUCUUCUUCUGUUCUCCAAUAGUCAGUAUCUUCACAGACCUGUUUGGUUGUCGAAAAGUAGCUGUUGUUGGAGCUGCAGUGGGAUUUGCUGGACUCCUUUCAAGUUCUUUUGUAAGCACCAUUGAACCUCUAUAUUUCACCUACGGAAUCUUAUUUGCCUGUGGCUGCUCAUUUGCAUACCAGCCAUCCUUGGUCAUUCUCGGGCACUAUUUCAAGAAACGCCUUGGACUGGUGAAUGGCAUCGUCACUGCAGGCAGCAGCUUGUUCACUGUGUCACUGCCCUUCCUCUUGCGAGUUUUGAUCGAUUCUGUUGGCUUAUACAACACCUUGCGGGUCCUGUGCAUCCUUAUGUUUGUUCUGUUCCUGGCUGGCUUUACGUACAAACCCCUUGUUUCCAAUGCCAAAGACAAAGAGGGAGGAAAGAAGGGAAAGUUCAAAUUUCCUCCUGAAAAAAAGAUUUGCAAUUUCUCUGUUUUCAAAGUUCUCAGUUACCGUAUCUGGGCUUUUGGGAUCCCAGCUGCACUUUUUGGAUACUUCGUGCCUUAUGUUCACUUGAUGAAGCAUGUAAAAGACAGAUUUGGUGACAGCGUGCCAGAAGAAGUGCUUCUGCUGUGCCUGGGCAUUACAUCAGGAGUUGGCAGAUUGAUCUUUGGCAGAGUUGCGGAUUACGUUCCUGGUGCAAAAAAAGUUUAUUUACAGGUGGCCUCAUUCUUCUUUAUUGGCCUGAUGUCUAUGAUGAUUCCACUGUGCCACGUCUUUGGAGGUCUCAUUGCCGUCUGUCUCUUCAUGGGCCUGUUUGAUGGGUGCUUCAUUUGCAUUAUGGCUCCCAUUGCCUUUGAGCUUGUUGGGGCUCAGGAUGUCUCCCAGGCCAUAGGAUUUCUACUAGGACUUAUGUCAAUACCGAUGACAGUUGGUCCACCCAUUGCAGGUUUGCUGCGCGAUCACCUCGGCACCUAUGAUGUAGCGUUCUACUUGGCUGGAGUCCCUCCCCUUAUUGGCGGAGCUAUAUUAUGUUUCAUCCCCUGGGUCCAUGAACGGCAGAAGUUGAAAGAAAGAGCAAAACCUGUUGAUGGAGAAACUACUGAGAAAAUGCUGGAAAAUGAAAGCACUUUGGUGUCAGACACUACAGAAAAGCCAGUCAAAGAAACGGAAUCUGGUGUUUGAUGCUUUCUUUUCCUGUACCAGCUUGACCUUCUACUGAAGCUAGAUUUCUACUUUUGGGCUGAAGAUACUACAUGAUACUAAAGAAGCUUUGAACUAUUGCUCAAAUAGCAAAACUGCUACAGAAUCUUUUAUACCAUUGACCUUUUUUUGAUGAGUCAUUGAGUUUGAUUUCAAGCCACAUUUUCAAGGUAUUUGAAGUUUUGUAGCAUUAGUGUGUAUGUGUGUAGUGAUUCUCUGUGUGAAGAGAAUAUUUUUCUAAUUCAUCAAACCUGUUUCUGGAAGUGCGAAAGCUGUUUUUGCUUCACUGACCCAGGAUUCUUCAAUAACUUUUAUGGUCCGGUGAAUGCAGGCACAUCCAUGGGUGUUUAUACUGGAAAAUGUAGUAGCUUUUAUGAAUGAUGUGUUUUUCAAAGUGUCUCAUGCUGUUUUUACAGUCUUUUACAAUUCUGUAUCAUGAACACAAACGUGAUUCCCUUAACUCUUGCUGAAAUCAUUAGAAAACUAAAUUAUUAAACUUCUGUUAUUUUCUCUAAAUACCCCAGCCUGCUCAGUUUGCUUAAACAUUCACCUGGUUUUGCAUUGAUUCACCUUUUCACAGUAGCCCAGACGAAGAACAUCAAGGAUGAAACUUUUGAUGGGCACAAGUUUUUGAAUAUGUGCAAACUGAGCUCCAAGUACAAACACAUUCAGAAGUAAAGCUGCUGGAUGAUAGAUUUUUUUAUUUGGUGAAGGCAAUACUAUUAAUGUGUAGUGCAUUUUAAUUUUUUUAGCUAAAGCUCAGAAUAGCUGAUAGUUUUUUGAAAUUGUUCUGACAGUAAUACUUUGGAGUAGUAUUGUGAAUUAGACUCAAAUUUCAAAUUACUCUGUACUUUUUUAUUCUUAAAAACAAGACAGCUUUAAAGAAUACAUUCUAAGUGCAAUAAUAAGUUGUUUUUAAUGUGGAAAAUAUGCGUAAGCUAUGAAAAUGACAUUCAACAAUUAAAGAUUUUUGCACUAAGUGAACAUGCAGGUUUAUUGUAGGUCUUUAUAGCUGUGUUCAAUUGUGUGUAUAUUUUAUUCAAAUAUAAAGAAAUGUCUUUGCAUGUCCAAUUUCUUGUUUAACAUACUAAAUAUGGCCCUAUUACUUCUGUAUCCUUAGGUAUUAUGCACUGUUUGUCAAGCAGGUAUUUCUGAAAAAUAUUUGAAAGCAUAAUAUUCUGAGAUGAAAACACUGCUUUUCAGUUUAUCAUAAAACACUUCCAAGUACAUUGUUUAUUUGUAGAUAUGGAUCAGCAAUGUGGUGGAAUACAUGAUCAUUCUUUAUUUCAGGUCCAUGUGAUACUAAUAAUUUUUGUUUUCUUGUGUAGAAGUGUCAUAGCAAGAGUAAACUAAAUGUGAUCUGAAGACAAAAUGCACAUUGAAGUGCAUUUUCUUAAUUAGUAACAAUACCUGUUCUUCACAUAAACCAGAGGAGCUGUAGCACUGGAAUGUGGGAGACAGCUGGGGAAGAGGUAACUAUCUGCAUUUGUGCGUCUCACUGUUGACAAGCACAGCACCAUUGCAGUUCCAGACAGCCAGUGAGUUUCUAGUCAUGUAAGCUUUGGCAUAUUUUCAGGAUGCCUUUUAGUCUUACAUAUAUUGUGUCAACAUCUUUUAAUGUUUCAGAACUGCGUAUGGUAAGAUUAGAGUGAUUUUUAUACUAAAAUGUGUGCUAAUGUUGGUAACACUGACAUGUUUAAGUAUCUUUAUUGACAUCCUAUUUUGUAUGUUGGUUUUGAUGUUAAAGGAUAUACAUUUUGUUAGCCUUAACUCCAUUAUUUGAAGUUCUGCUUUGUUAGAAGGGUAAGAAAUGAAUGUCUGUUUUUCAUGGUGCUAAAGUAACUGUGAUCAGUCUCAAAUUAUUCAGAAUAAAGAUGGUAAAGUGCCCUAUUUGUUACUGCAUGCAUAAUUUUUAGUCCUGUUCUAUAAAACUUGUCAUUUUUGAAAAUAAUUGUGUUAUAUUCUGAUAAUUACUGAAUCUCAAGUGCAGACUUUUAUACAAAAGCCUUUACAACUUCUUAGUUCUGUGUUCUGAUUUGCUCCUGAAUUAAUACAUGGUGCAAUCCAUUUCAUUCCGAUUGCGCUGACAAUCCAUUUUAAGACCAAUGGUUUGUAAACCUAAACUACUGACUUCCAAAGUUACAUACUUCUGAAAAAUUUAUCUACUCUAUUUUCCAUUUUUGAGGUUUAAUAUCAAACUUAGAGAACAGUUGCAUUCACAAAGGGCAGAAUUAAAAUUGAGGGAGGGAGGAAAACCUAUGGUAGAACAAACUUCAGUGGCAUUUUAAAAGCAUUCUCUAUUUCUUUGCUUCAUGAACUGCCAGUGUAAUUCAGUGGACCUUUAAUCAUUUACUGGCCUACU